GCAAGUCGAGCGAAUGAAAGUUCCUUCGGGAACCGAUUUAGCGGCGGACGGGGUGAGUAACACGUGGGCAACCUGCCUCAUAGAGGGGAAUAGCCUUCCGAAAGGGAGAUUAAUACCGCAUAAGAUUGUAGUACCGCAUGGUACAGCAAUUAAAGGAGCAAUCCGCUAUGAGAUGGGCCCGCGGCGCAUUAGCUAGUUGGUGAGGUAACGGCUCGCCAAGGCGACGAUGCGUAGCCGACCUGAGAGGGUGAUCGGCCACAUUGGGACUGAGACACGGCCCAGACUCCUACGGGAGGCAGCAGUGGGGAAUAUUGGGCAAUGGGGGAAACCCUGACCCAGCAACGCCGCGUGAAGGAAGAAGGUUUUCGGAUCGUAAACUUCUGUCCUCAGUGAAGAGUAGAAGACGGUAACUGAGGAGGAAGCCCCGGCUAACUACGUGCCAGCAGCCGCGGUAAUACGUAGGGGGCAAGCGUUGUCCGGAAUGAUUGGGCGUAAAGGGCGCGUAGGCGGCCUAUUAAGUUUGGAGUGAAAGUCCCGCUUUCAAGGUGGGAAUUGCUUUGAAAACUGACGGGCGGUGAGUGCAGAAGAAGACAGUGGAACUCCAUGUGUAGCGGUGGAAUGCGUAGAUAUAUGGAAGAACACCAGUGGCGAAGGCGGCUGUCUGGUCUGCAACUGACGCUGAGGCUCGAAAGCAUGGGUAGCGAACAGGAUUAGAUACCCUGGUAGUCCAUGCCGUAAACGAUGAGUGCUAGGUGUUGGAGGGUNUCCGCCCUUCAGUGCCGGAGCUAACGCAU
rnacentral:rRNA from 1 species